ensembl:lncRNA
GUGAAAGUGGGGUGGGGGGGAAGUCGGGGAGAGUUGAAUGCUUCCCUGAUCUGCUCCAACUGGAAAUAGCCCUGAGUGGCUGGCAGCCUUGCUCCAGAGCUCAGAGUACCCAGGGCAGCUCCUGAUUUUAUAGGCUAAUCUGAGACCGAGUCAGUUGCCUUGGGAUAUUAGGUCUACGGGGUAAGGUGACAAGGAGCUGGGAAGGGAGCCCUCCAAACCCCCACGUGCUGUGGCUUCACAGGUGGGUGCAUCAGACUUCUGUGCUGCCCUGCUUCUGUUUCCCUCACUAAGUUCUGAAAUAGAUAAUCGCACCGAGGUGGGGGCCAGGCCAGUCCAACACAGGCGCUCUGAGGUUGGCCCGCAAUGCGGAAACUGUCAGUUAUCCUGUUGGAGGUCCUCCCUCCAUUUCUCGGAGCAGGGUCCUCAUUCCUGUUAUAGACCCGUUGGUACAAUGCUGAUGUUCUAAUCCCUUUACCCUCUUCUCCGACCAAGAGAAAUGCGUGCACCCGAAAGAGGAGGAGGCCAGGGAGGGAGGGAAGGAAGAAAAGGAGACAGAGAAGAAGGAAGAGAAUCCUUGCGAAAGGAACAAUCCAGGAUCCAGCCCCUUGAUCUGGAAGCCAGACUUCUUCUGACGUCUACAAGACCAUGCAGAGGGGGCAGAGACGAGCGUGGAGAAGACUGGGAAGAAGAUUGUACCAACUACAAACCCUGCCCCCACCCCGAUCCCCGCGAGGGGGACGAAUUCUGAAAGAAGCUGGGAGUCCGCAUCCGUCCAGCCUUCUGGGAGCUCCGAAUCUUUCCACAGCCAUUCGCUGCUGUCCCCCAGCCUUUGUAGCUUUGAAAUCCAUCGGACAUUUCAGACUUGCAUCGUGAUUUUCCUGUUGACGGUGGAGAUGUGUGAAGGCUGCAGAGAUGACUGGCCAUACUGGACGUGGGACAGUGCUGCCAACCGAGGACAUGUAAAUGACGUCUGUCCUCGCACCUCUGCCUUUGGGUUCUUGAUGAACUUCCAACGGCUCAGUGCCUCCUUUGCUCACUCGGGCAUCCUCUGCACGUCCAGCACAGGUCCCCGGGGUCUUCAAAGAGGUUUUCAAGCGUGUAGAAAAAAAUACAGCCCGGUGGCUGGGAUGAAGCACGUGACAACCUUGUGAGAUGAGGAAGGAACUGACUUCCCUCGGCCCUGAUGGGGACACAGGAGCCCUGGGAGCUGACAGCAUUUGUCCAAAGCAGCUGAGUGGGGCAGCCGAGGAUCUCAUCCACUCCCCCAAUUCUGCUGCUGCCAGGAAACAGGUAACGUGGAUCCAGGGUCCAUUCAAAGCAGGAUUUGCUCUAUUAGCGGGGUCUGGUCCUUGACGUCCACCUUCCAGGGCAUAGAAAGCUUGUAAAGGAGGAUGCUGAGCUGCUUUUCUGGUUGCCUUCAGGGUGAUAAGGAAGAGGGGAGAAAACACAGAAGACUUCCAGUUGCUAGGGUGAUUUUAAAAGCUGGACUAAGACUAGUAAGAGUCUUCGUGAGUUGAACUCUGCUGUAACGCUUUCUUCCUUAGAAUGACAAAUGUCUUAGGCUCCACCGUGCCGAUUCUCACUGAAUUCCAACUCCAGGCAGGCGAAGGGCAAGCAGGCCCUAUAGCCUUCCCUCUGAAUUCCCAGCCUCCCUCCAGCUGAACCAGC